AGUCAAUAGAUACCCGGGUAGUCCACGCCGUAAACGAUGAGUACUAGGUGUCGGGGUUUAAAGACUUCGGUGCCGCAGUUAAACGCAUUAAAGUACUCCGCCUGGGGAGUACGCACGCAAGUGUGAAACUCAAAGGAAUUGACGGGGACCCGCACAAGCAGCGGAGCAUGUGGUUUAAUUCGAAGCAACGCGAAGAACCUUACCAGAACUUGACAUCCCUCUGACCGGUCCUUAAUCGGACCUUCUCUUCGGAGCAGAGGAGACAGGUGGUGCAUGGUUGUCGUCAGCUCGUGUCGUGAGAUGUUGGGUUAAGUCCCGCAACGAGCGCAACCCUUGUCAUUAGUUGCCAUCAUUCAGUUGGGCACUCUAAUGAGACUGCCGGGGAUAACUCGGAGGAAGGUGGGGAUGACGUCAAAUCAUCAUGCCCCUUAUGUUCUGGGCUACACACGUGCUACAAUGGUCGGUACAAAGAGAAGCAAGACGGUGACGUGGAGCCAAUCUCAAAAGCCGAUCCCAGUUCGGAUUGUAGG
rnacentral:rRNA from 1 species